rfam:Oryza sativa (indica cultivar-group) chromosome 9, whole genome shotgun sequence.
AAUAAGACAAACCCUGGGUUUCCGUGUCCAACAUUUGACUGUCCGUCUUAUAUGAAAUUUUUUUAUAAUUUGUAUUUUCAUUGUUGUUAGAUGAUAAAACGUGAUUAAUACUUUUAUGCGUGACUUGUCUUUUUAAUUUUUUUCAUAAUUUUUUCAAAUAAAACGGACGGUCAAAUGUUGGACACGGAAACCCAUGAUUUAUCUUUUU